AACGAACGUUAGCGGCGCGCCUAAUACAUGCAAGUCGAGCGAGAAAGGGCUUCGGCCCCGGUAAAGCGGCGCACGGGUGAGUAACACGUAGGCAAUCUGCCCUCGAGUGGUGGAUAACCC
rnacentral:rRNA from 1 species